UUGGGGUUUAAAGACAGCUAUAAAUAGAAAGGCUGUGAGGUUCCUUUAGUAAAAGGCAGAAAAUUACCACAUAAUGCUCUUCUAACUUGGGACCUAAUUGCUUUGAUUUUUGGCCUUUUGCGUGAUGUUUACUUUAUGUAAUCAUCGCAUAUUUAGAAGUUAACGUUUGGUCCAUUUUGCCAGAUAAGUCCUUGACACAGUGGCUAUUACAUCAGGACUUGGGACACCAUCUGGUGGCCACUCACGUGCAUUACAGAGAAGAGAUCCUCACCCGCUCUCCAACCACCUCUACAUAAUACCAUAGCUACCAUAGCGGAGACAAACAGAUAUUCCCCAUCUCCCUGACCAUAAAACACAUAGAUACGCAAAAUCUUCUCUUGACCUUAUUUCUCUUUUCUUUUACUGUUUAAUGCUUUUAACAUUAACCCACACCCCGCUGACCCCAUUUCUUCACCGCCACUUCUGCCUCUGUUGACCAAGGACAUCCAGGCGGUCAUACUCCAGGAAGCAGUAGACUCUGACGUCGCUCUCCCUCCACAUCAGCUUUCUUCCAACACGCCCAGCCAUUGGCUUCCAACCCCUCUGCCCUCCUGACCCUGCUCUCCUGAAGCUUGGCAACAUUUUCCCCGUCCCCAUACCCAACGGCCCAACCUCAUCCUCACGCUGCUUGAACUUUUGUUUUGGAGUGCUUGGUACUGUUGACAACCUUCUCCUUGAAGCUCCUUCGUCUCCUCUUGUCUCUAGGAUGAGGAGCAGUCUCUAACAUCUAUAUUCGUGUGCCUUAGUCUCAUUUUAGGAUUGUGCUACAGUUAGAAUCAGAAGCUGCUUCGUAUGAGCUACGUGGACUCCACGCGACUGUUGCUCUAUGUGUCCCGUUGCUUUAAUGGGGGAUAUUUAGGAGGAUACCUGUGCCUCUUGGCACACUCUGACCCAGAGAGAGUGAUUUUCAGAGUUGUUUGGCUGGUGCUGAAUACCCAAGGUACCAACAGUUCCCAAGCAGAACCUAUGAUCAUCAGAUAAACUCCCGCCCUCACCCCCAAAACACCAUCAACCCCCUUCCUUGGCCUCUCUUGGUAAUGGACCUCCCUGCUUAGCAUGGGGUGUGGGGUUUUGGGGUAAUUAACUGGUGGGCUGGGGCCUGAGCUGGGAACACAUUAGAAAAGACUGUGCAAUGUGGAGGAGGCUUUGAUAAUAUAAGCUUUUGUACAGACUGACUCCUUUGAGCCUGGCUUAGAGAUUGUACUGCCGAGUCCCCAUUUGCUGGUAUGUGCUGUGAGGUUGGAAAUAUCUCCCAGCACCCUCCAUGGGCUUGGUUUUCACAAUGUUACCUGGUGAUGCCAGGGAGGCCAUGAAUGCUAAGUGGGGUGUGCAAUGUCAGUUUCGAGACCACCCUUAACUCCACCCUCCACUCCCCAAACAGGGAGGCUGCACUGGGGAGCCUCAGAUCCACAGACACCUCUCUCCCUUUGAUCUUAGAUCACACCCUUUCUUGGUCACCUUAGCAGAUGGAAACAACUUUCUGAGUUUAGCUUCUUAGAUCAAGAUUGGUGCAAGGGCUAAACAAAAAUCUUGCCUGGGUUGUUCCUACGUCAGGCUCUAGCAAGUAAGAAAUUGAGAGAAGUCACCCCAUACAGGCGAAGAACGGGGUGAGUGGGCAGAACACACUCAUAGUGAAGUUCAAACUCCUGGCCCAGGUGUCCAAGGCCCUUCGCCAUUAAGCCUUGUUCACCCAUCAAAGCUUCCACUCUUUUUCAAAGUUGCAAAUAGAUGGGGAUCCUGCACAGAACAGCAGACUGUGAAGAUCCAGGACACAGGAAAAUCACUACAUCUGCCAUCAAGCAAGCACUGGUAUUAAUGACACACGGAUAGACAGGUCCAUGCUGAGGGUGAUGUGGGUACUUGAGCCUGGGGGAGGCAGGGAGCAACCACAUCUGACUCAGUUUCCUCCUACAAGGGGAACACCAAGAUUCCACGGAAUCAACAGGGUGGAAGCAGAGCCCGGCCCCAACGGCAUUGCAAUCUCCAAAUGAGACUAGAUCAGGUUUGGUUCUCCAGCAACUAUGAUUAAUAUCAACUCAUGGUGGACAGUUUGACCUACCUCAUACCCUGAAGCAAACACCAGGCACACCACUCCCCACAGCAGGGUUUCUCUUACACUUCCCUCCUCACUGGGGGUCCCAUGUAUAGCGCCUUCCUGCUCCCCAUCCCCAGGGUCCUGGACUCCAGAGAGGCUGGAGGAAUUGGGGACUCAUGGCUGUGGGCCUCAGCAGGGCCUGGGCAGGAAGGUGAAGCACGGAUUUCAGGUGAAUAAACAAAGGAGAAGACAUAACAAGGGAGGCUCGGAAUCUCUGGCCACCGGGAGUCCAGGAGCAGAGAGGGGGAAGGUGCAGUGACCCCACGGAAACGCCUGUGGGAUGAGGUCUCCAGCUUUGCAGAGCCACCGGGCUUGUGGGGGCGAACUGAGAUGAGACCUUUCAUAACACCCUUUCACCACCCUGGUGAGAGUCACCCUAACAGGACCAAUCCAGGCCUUAUGGGCUACUCUUACAAGUAAGUCAUAUGUGGCAGAGACUUCUAGGCAUCUACUCAAUAUCCAUUCCUCGUUUUUUUAUGAGUGGGACACUGGGCAUUGUACCCAGUUGAUGAGUCAAUUUCUCAACCUCCCUUGCAGAAUGUGUUAGGUGCAACCCCCCUCACCUCCUUCUUUCUGUUAACUGGAAUGUGGACAUGAUGGCCAGCACUCCAGCAGCCAUCCUAGACCAAGAAGCAACCUUGAAGAUGGUGACUUUUGCCAAGGAUGGUGGAGUGGAAAGAUGAGGGAAGGCUGGUCCAGGAUGUUCAUGGGGCCACCAUGCCAAUGCUGGCCUGCCUUCAUACAGAUUGUGUGUGUGUAUGUGUGUGUGUGUGGUGUGUGUGUCUGUGUGUCUGUGUGUAAAAGAAAAAUAGCCCCUGAGAGUUUAAGGCAUAGUUGUUUGGGGCUUUCUGCUAUAGGCAGCCAGCUCAGUCCUAACUGAUCACACCGUGUGGUUUCUGGAACACCUGCCUCUACUCUUUUCCCUAAACCUCCCCCACCUACUAGUCAAUGAUGUUUGACAUCCUUCAAGAGGUCUAACCUUUCAUUCCAUAACCAGAGACAAAAAGUAUAAAAUCCAAAUGUCUGUGAUCAGUAAUGUCCCCAGAGAAAUGUAACACCACUGAAGAACAUUCUGAAUUCACCUGCCACCCGCUGAUAAGCAAAACUGACCUAACCCAGGUUUGUUCCCCAUUUGAUAGGAAGUCAAAGGGUAUGAAGCCAUAUUAAGCAACCCAAAGGGAAAGGGGCAGGAGAAAUUCCCCAAGGGGGAGAGCGUUUAUAAAAAGACAGCCUGGGCAACCCAGGGUCAUGCAGCCAUCUGUCAGUGCCUCUUGGUAGAAACACAGCUUUAUGCAAAUGUGAAAAGGAUGGGAUAUGACUUUUGGUAUCAAAGAGAUAUGGGUUCAAGUGGUAGAGCUCUUGUCAGCUAUGUGACCUGGGGCAAGUUACAUAAAUGUCGAGCCUUCAGUUUCAGCAUCUGAAAAAUGGGAAUAAUAGUAACUACCCAGGGAGGUGUUCUGAGGGUUAGAUGGGACCAACCUAUGACGGUGCUUCAUAUGCCAUAAGCAACCCUGGCAUCAUUGCUGUCCUCCUCGUCAUCAUCAUCAACGAUAAUUAUAAUCCUGCUUUUGACCAGGAGGCUCAGAGAGUCUAAGGAACUUGUCCAAGGUCAUUAACUAAUAAGUGACGAAGUGUAGGUCUCUGUCAUACAAGGGUUCGUGUUCCCUCUUUCAUACUUCACUUUGUAGCUUAAACAAGAAAUACUGAACUUGGUCUUCUCAAAAUCAUUUCCCAUUUUAUAAUGAGAAGAAUAUGACUUUUCCUUCUUCCCCUACAGGCAAGGUGCAAUCCUUGAGGUCUGUGUGCUUUGAAAAUUGCAGAGCGGUUUGCAUGUAAGAUGCCCCAUGUCAUCCCCCAGGUUUACAGAGGAGAGGUUCCUGCCAUGGGUACUUGGCUUGAGCUGCCCUCUUGGGGCAUCUGACUUCUCCUUGGUCACCAGGAUAUCUGAAGCUUCACAUGGUCCCGGGAAGGAUGUGGAGGAAAAGGCCAUCAGCAGUGAGUGAUGGUUCCAAGAGUCCCCCCUGCUCUGAGGCCAAAGGACCCUCAUUCUACUUCCGGCUCCAGCUGCUGCCCUGCCUGGCCCUUGUGCUGCAGGCUUCACAUGUUAUCAUUCCAGGGCCAGGGCCUCACCACCGCCAGCACCUCCGUGGCACAUCUGCUUUCUGUGCUGCCCAGAACGGAGUUUCUACCCAGCCGCCUGCAAAAAUAUCUCAAGGCAUAGCGUGCAUUGAGCUGAGGAGGGACAGCCGGUUCUACUUGAAACUGGGAAGUGGUCUCCCCACAGAGUCCAGCGCCUCCUAAGGGUCUUCCUGAUGUCCUAAAUCUCCACCCAAGUCUCUACCAUGAGAUGGAGUCUCGCUUUGUCUGCAGGCUGGAGUGCAAUGGCACGAUCUUGACUCACUGCAACCUCUGCCUCCCAGGUUCAAGCGAUUCUCUGCCUCAGCCUCCCGAGUAGCUGGGACUACAGGUGUAUGCCACCACGCCCAAAUAAUUUUUGUAUUUUUAGUAGAGACGGGUUUCACCAUGUUGGCCAGGAUGGUCUCGAUCUCCAGACCUCAUGAUCUGCCCACCUCGGCCUCCCAAAAUGCUGGGAUUACAGGUCUGAGCCACAGCACUUGGCCUGAUAUAUUAAUUUUUAUUGCAAAUAUUUUUCUCAGUUUGUCAUUUACCUUUCACUCAAAGUGGGCUUGCCAUAUGAAAAGCUUUAAAUUUUAUGCUUUCAUAUCUGUUAGUCUUUUCCUUUAUAAUUUUUGCCCUGGGGAAUAUGUUUGGCAGCUCUUCUCCACUCCAGGCUAAUACAACCUAUUUUUCUUCUGUAGUUUUUGUGGUCUUGUCUUCUACACCUAAACCUUUAAUGUAUCUAAAAGUUAUUUUUAUGUUUGCAUUAGAACUCUUAAUUUUAUUUUUUAGAUAGAAUUUUUUUUUUUUUUUGAGACAGAGUUUCGCUCUUGUUGCCCAGGCUGGAGUGCAAUGGUGUGAUCUCGGAGGCACUUGAACCUCCACCUCCUGGGUUCAAGUGAUUCUCCUGCCUCAGCCUCCUGAGUAGCUGGGAUUACAGGCUCAUGCCACCACACUCAGCUAAUUUUCUAUUUUUAGUAGAGAUGGGGUUUCACCAUAUUGGUCAGGCUGGUCUCGAACUCCUGACCUCAGGUGAUCUGCCCGCCUUGGCGUCCCAAAGUGCUGGGAUUACAGGCAUGAGCCACCACACCUGGCCUUUUUAGAUAGUCUUCUAACUCAAUAUUUUUUAUGGUCUACCAAUUAUCCUGAUAUCAUCUAUGAAAUGACUGAUUUUUUCAUCAGUAAUUUGAGGAUGCCACUUUGUCAUAUAAUAUAAUUUUGUAUAUUUAAUAUAUUUCUAGAUAUUACAUCUUCUUCCAUUAUCUAUCUAUUCUUAUACCCAUAGUGUACUAUUUUAAUAACUAUAGCCCUAUAGUACCUUCAAAAAAUGGAAAUAUUUCCUUCUUACUCUCCUUUAAAAAUACAUGAAUGAAUAUAUACUAAGUGCAUAAAUAAAUCUUUCAAAUAGAUUUUUUUAUUUUCUUUAUAUAUAAAUUUAUUUAUUUGUAAAAUAUUUAUAUAUUAUGUUUUUUAGUUUACAUAUAUUUUAUAAAUUUUAAAAAUAUCUUGGUAUUUUGAUUGUGGUUACGUUUACUUUCCUAACACCUGGUCUCGUUACAAUAUUGAUUCAACCCAGCAAUACGAUUCUUCAAUUAUUCAUUCUUCAGCAAAGUUUGUUUUCUCUAUAUAGGUUAUUAAAAUUUCUUUUAUUUUUUAUUUUUAAUUGCUAUUGUAAAUUUUUUAAAAUUAUGUUUUCUCACUGGUUAAUGC
rnacentral:lncRNA from 10 species